rnacentral:rRNA from 1 species
CGCGGGAUUAGAGUUUGAUCCUGGCUCAGAACGAACGCUGGCGGCAGGCUUAACACAUGCAAGUCGAACGCUCGUAGCAAUACGGGAGUGGCAGACGGGUGAGUAACGCGUGGGAACAUACCCUCCGGUUCGGAAUAGCUCAGGGAAACUUGGAUUAAUACCGGAUACGGCUGAGAGGCGAAAGAUUUAUCGCCGGAGGAUUGGCCCGCGUUCGAUUAGCUUGUUGGUGAGGUAACGGCUCACCAAGGCGAUGAUCGAUAGCUGGUCUGAGAGGAUGAUCAGCCACAUUGGGACUGAGACACGGCCCAAACUCCUACGGGAGGCAGCAGUGGGGAAUAUUGGACAAUGGGCGCAAGCCUGAUCCAGCCAUGCCGCGUGAGUGAUGACGGCCUUAGGGUUGUAAAGCUCUUUCGCUCGGAACGAUAAUGACGGUACCGAGAUAAGAAGCCCCGGCUAACUUCGUGCCAGCAGCCGCGGUAAUACGAAGGGGGCUAGCGUUGUUCGGAAUUACUGGGCGUAAAGCGCGUGUAGGCGGGUCUUUAAGUCAGGGGUGAAAUGCCAAGGCUCAACCUUGGAACUGCCUUUGAUACUGGAGAUCUUGAGUCCGGGAGAGGUAAGUGGAAUUGCGAGUGUAGAGGUGAAAUUCGUAGAUAUUCGCAAGAACACCAGUGGCGAAGGCGGCUCACUGGCCCGGAACUGACGCUGAGACGCGAAAGCGUGGGGAGCAAACAGGAUUAGAUACCCUGGUAGUCCACGCUGUA